GUUGUAUGGUUAAGUGACUAAGCGUACACGGUGGAUGCCUUGGCAGUCAGAGGCGAUGAAAGACGUAGUAACUUGCGAUAAGCCCAGAUUAGGUAGUAACAACCAUUUGAGUCUGGGAUUUCUGAAUGGGGAAACCCACGUGCAUAAGCACGUAUCCUUACCUGAAUACAUAGGGUAAGGAGGCGAACCGGGGGAACUGAAACAUCUAAGUACCCCGAGGAAAAGAAAUCAACCGAGAUUCCGAAAGUAGCGGCGAGCGAAAUUGGACUAGCCCUUAAGCUUUACACGCGUUAGACGAACGGUCUGGAAAGUCCGACGAUACAGGGUGAUAGUCCCGUAGUUGACGACGUGUGUUCAGUGAAAUCGAGUAGGGCGGGACACGUGAUAUCCUGUCUGAAUAUGGGGGGACCAUCCUCCAAGGCUAAAUACUACUGACUGACCGAUAGUGAACCAGUACCGUGAGGGAAAGGCGAAAAGAACCCCUGUGAGGGGAGUGAAAUAGAACCUGAAACCGUGUACGUACAAGCAGUAGGAGCAGGCUUGUCCUGUGACUGCGUACCUUUUGUAUAAUGGGUCAGCGACUUAUAUUCAGUGGCAAGGUUAACCAUCUAGGGGAGCCGUAGGGAAACCGAGUCUUAACUGGGCGUUCAGUCUCUGGAUAUAGACCCGAAACCAGGUGAUCUAGCCAUGGGCAGGUUGAAGGUUGAGUAACAUCAACUGGAGGACCGAACCGACUAAUGUUGAAAAAUUAGCGGAUGACUUGUGGCUAGGGGUGAAAGGCCAAUCAAACCUGGAGAUAGCUGGUUCUCCCCGAAAGCUAUUUAGGUAGCGCCUCGGACGAAUACUACUGGGGGUAGAGCACUGUUAAGGCUAGGGGGUCAUCCCGACUUACCAACCCUUUGCAAACUCCGAAUACCAGUAAGUACUAUCCGGGAGACACACGGCGGGUGCUAACGUCCGUCGUGGAGAGGGAAACAACCCAGACCGCCAGCUAAGGUCCCAAAUUACUACUAAGUGGGAAACGAUGUGGGAAGGCUCAGACAGCCAGGAUGUUGGCUUAGAAGCAGCCAUCAUUUAAAGAAAGCGUAAUAGCUCACUGGUCGAGUCGGCCUGCGCGGAAGAUGUAACGGGGCUAAGUAGUAAACCGAAGCUGCGGCAAUAUACUUUUGUAUAUUGGGUAGGGGAGCGUUCUGUAAGCGGUUGAAGGUGUGUGGUAACGCAUGCUGGACGUAUCAGAAGUGCGAAUGCUGACAUGAGUAACGAUAAAGGGGGUGAAAAACCUCCUCGCCGGAAGACCAAGGGUUCCUGUCCAACGUUAAUCGGGGCAGGGUAAGUCGACCCCUAAGGCGAGGCCGAAAGGCGUAGUCGAUGGGAAACGGGUUAAUAUUCCCGUACUUCUUACAAUUGCGAUGGGGGGACGGAGAAGGCUAGGUGGGCCUGGCGACGGUUGUCCAGGUUCAAGUGCGUAGGCUUAAGAGUUAGGUAAAUCCGGCUCUUUCUAAGGCUGAGACACGACGUCGAGCAUCUACGGAUGUGAAGUCAUUGAUGCCAUGCUUCCAGGAAAAGCCUCUAAGCUUCAGAUUGUAAGGAAUCGUACCCCAAACCGACACAGGUGGUCGGGUAGAGAAUACCAAGGCGCUUGAGAGAACUCGGGUGAAGGAACUAGGCAAAAUGGUACCGUAACUUCGGGAGAAGGUACGCUCUCGACGGUGAAGUCCCUUGCGGAUGGAGCUAUUGAGAGUCGCAGAUACCAGGUGGCUGCAACUGUUUAUUAAAAACACAGCACUGUGCAAAAUCGUAAGAUGACGUAUACGGUGUGACGCCUGCCCGGUGCCGGAAGGUUAAUUGAUGGGGUUAGACUUCGGUCGAAGCUCUUGAUCGAAGCCCCGGUAAACGGCGGCCGUAACUAUAACGGUCCUAAGGUAGCGAAAUUCCUUGUCGGGUAAGUUCCGACCUGCACGAAUGGCGUAAUGAUGGCCACGCUGUCUCCACCCGAGACUCAGUGAAAUUGAAAUCGCUGUGAAGAUGCAGUGUACCCGCGGCUAGACGGAAAGACCCCGUGAACCUUUACUACAGCUUGGCACUGAACAUUGACCCUACAUGUGUAGGAUAGGUGGGAGGCUUUGAAGCACGUACGCCAGUAUGUGUGGAGCCGUCCUUGAAAUACCACCCUUGUAGUGUUGAUGUUCUAACGUCGACCCCUUAUCGGGGUUGCGGACAGUGCCUGGUGGGUAGUUUGACUGGGGCGGUCUCCUCCCAAAGAGUAACGGAGGAGCACGAAGGUGGGCUAAUCACGGUUGGACAUCGUGAGGUUAGUGCAAUGGCAUAAGCCCGCUUGACUGCGAGAAUGACAAUUCGAGCAGGUGCGAAAGCAGGUCAUAGUGAUCCGGUGGUUCUGAAUGGAAGGGCCAUCGCUCAACGGAUAAAAGGUACUCCGGGGAUAACAGGCUGAUACCGCCCAAGAGUUCAUAUCGACGGCGGUGUUUGGCACCUCGAUGUCGGCUCAUCACAUCCUGGGGCUGAAGUCGGUCCCAAGGGUAUGGCUGUUCGCCAUUUAAAGUGGUACGCGAGCUGGGUUUAGAACGUCGUGAGACAGUUCGGUCCCUAUCUGCCGUGGGCGUUGGAAGAUUGAAGGGGGCUGCUCCUAGUACGAGAGGACCGGAGUGGACGAACCUCUGGUGUUCGGGUUGUGUCGCCAGACGCAUUGCCCGGUAGCUAAGUUCGGAAUCGAUAACCGCUGAAAGCAUCUAAGCGGGAAGCGAGCCCUGAGAUGAGUCUUCCCUGAUACUUUAAGUAUCCUAAAGGGUUGUCGGAGACUACGACGUUGAUAGGUCAGGUGUGUAAGUGCUGUGAGGCAUUGAGCUAACUGAUACUAAUUGCCCGUGAGGCUUAACCAUACAACACCCAAGGGGUUU
rnacentral:rRNA from 1 species